UGCACAUCCCUAGAGCUGGUUUACUGAUUGGGGUCAGCAGGUAGACCAGUCCUCUGAGGGGCGCUAACAAGCUGAGUCCAGAGUGGCACUAAUGCAGUGUUUGUGGCUGAUCAGAGACAAACAGAAAAAUGAUCUCAGCGGCCAAGGUCUGGUAAAAUGGCUGCACUACAGUCUGCAUGGCGAGUAUCUGGAAUGGAACCUGAAGCAGAGGAGAGCUGAGGAGCUGAGGAAGACCCACAUUGAUGUCUGGUUGAAGAUCUUGCCUGAGAAACUGAAGAAAAUGAGAGAAGACAAGGGAACGCCCGAGGAGCUGUAACGGACGAUGCCAUCACAGGCUUGCUUUGUUUGUAUCCCAACACAAGCACUGGCAUCAUGAUUCAUGCGAUUGUU